AAUCUUGCGCAAUGGGCGAAAGCCUGACGCAGCAAUGCCGCGUGAAUGAUGAAGGUCUUCGGAUUGUAAAAUUCUUUCACCGGGGACGCUAAUGACGGUACCCUGAGAAGAAGCACCGGCUCACUUCGUUACAUCACCCGCGGUAAUAAGAAGGGGGCUAGCGUUGCUCGGAAUUACUGUGCGUAAAGGGCGAGUAGGCGGACAUUUAAGCCAAGGGUGGAAGCCCAGAGCUCAACUCUGAAAAUGCCUUUGAUACUGGGUGUCUUGAGUGUGAGAGAGGUAUGUGGAACUCCGAGUGUAGAGGUGAAAUUCGUAGAUAUUCGGAAGAACACCAGUGGCGAAGGCGACAUACUGGCUCAUUACUGACGCUGAGGCGCGAAAGCGUGGGGAGCAAACAG
rnacentral:rRNA from 1 species